GAUGAACGCUGGCGGCGUGCCUAAUACAUGCAAGUCGAGCGAACAGACGAGGAGCUUGCUCCUCUGAUGUUAGCGGCGGACGGGUGAGUAACACGUGGAUAACCUACCUAUAAGACUGGGAUAACUUCGGGAAACCGGAGCUAAUACCGGAUAAUAUAUUGAACCGCAUGGUUCAAUAGUGAAAGACGGUUUUGCUGUCACUUAUAGAUGGAUCCGCGCCGCAUUAGCUAGUUGGUAAGGUAACGGCUUACCAAGGCAACGAUGCGUAGCCGACCUGAGAGGGUGAUCGGCCACACUGGAACUGAGACACGGUCCAGACUCCUACGGGAGGCAGCAGUAGGGAAUCUUCCGCAAUGGGCGAAAGCCUGACGGGGCAACGCCGCGUGAGUGAUGAAGGUCUUCGGAUCGUAAAACUCUGUUAUUAGGGAAGAACAAAUGUGUAAGUAACUAUGCACGUCUUGACGGUACCUAAUCAGAAAGCCACGGCUAACUACGUG
rnacentral:rRNA from 1 species